UGAUGUGACCAUGCCGGCUUGUUAAAGGCUGAUUUUGUCAGAAUCUCAGAAGCUACGCAAGGCCAGGCCUGCUUAGUACUUGGAUGGGAGACCUCUGGGAAUACCAGAUGCUACAGUGG
rnacentral:rRNA from 1 species